rnacentral:rRNA from 1 species
GAUGAACGCUGGCGGCGUGCCUAAUACAUGCAAGUCGAGCGAACAGAUAAGGAGCUUGCUCCUUUGACGUUAGCGGCGGACGGGUGAGUAACACGUGGGUAACCUACCUAUAAGACUGGAAUAACUCCGGGAAACCGGGGCUAAUGCCGGAUAACAUUUAGAACCGCAUGGUUCUAAAGUGAAAGAUGGUUUUGCUAUCACUUAUAGAUGGACCCGCGCCGUAUUAGCUAGUUGGUAAGGUAACGGCUUACCAAGGCAACGAUACGUAGCCGACCUGAGAGGGUGAUCGGCCACACUGGAACUGAGACACGGUCCAGACUCCUACGGGAGGCAGCAGUAGGGAAUCUUCCGCAAUGGGCGAAAGCCUGACGGAGCAACGCCGCGUGAGUGAUGAGGGUCUUCGGAUCGUAAAACUCUGUUAUUAGGGAAGAACAAAUGUGUAAGUAACUGUGCACGUCUUGACGGUACCUAAUCAGAAAGCCACGGCUAACUACGUG